UUUUUAUUUACUUAUGAGAGUCACACACAGAGAGAGAGAGAGAGAGGCAGAGACAUAGGCAGAGGGAGAAGCAGGCUCCAUGCACCAGGAGCCAGACGUGGGAUUCGAUCCCGGGUCUCCAGGAUCGCGCCCUGGGCCAAAGGCAGGCGCUAAACCGCUGCGCCACCCAGGGAUCCCAAGAUUUCAGUGUACUCUUCAGAGUACAGGAAAUGUAUUAGGAAAUGAAGGCUUAAUAUUCAUUAUCUCUAAAAUUUCAAAUUAGAUUAUAAAACUAUGCCAAAUUAUAAUUGAAAUAAUAAUCAAAUUAUUUAUUUACUAGUAUAAAAAAGGCUGAGUAGCAAUGCUUUAGGAUAGCAAAUAUCAAGUCUUGUUUAAAAUACUAGAUCUUUCUUGUGCUUUAGUAAAGGUGGUAUUACUCUCCUUUCACGUACUACAUUUCUUAGGGCUUUCUUUUCUCGAUGUUUCCAAAUUAGUAUUUGUCAGUUAGUGGCCCUCAGCUUUGGUAUGAAAAACAGAAAUAGGGAGAAGUUAUUAUAUUCUUAAGAGAUACUGAUGACCAAAUAUGGCUGCUACUCAGAAUCCUCAGCAAUUUCCAACUUGCCUGUUGCAAGAUGAUAUAGUAUGUAGGAUAGUACUCAAUUGAUUCAGAACUGUGGUGUUUUCCCUGCAAACUUCUUUUGAUUAUACAGCCUCAUGUCUUCUGUAACUGUUUCCAUGACCUUCCAGCAAUAGCCUCAUGAUCUGUCUGCACAGCCUCUGCUCUUUCUACAUGUAUGAAAACCCUAAGUACUUUAUUAAUUCCUUUUGUCUCAUAAUACUUAGUGUGCCUCUGUUUACUUCACAAAGUAUAGAAUGAUGACUUCACUAAAAAGAUGUAUUGCUUAGAUCUUAGUGUCCUACAUUGGAGACCUAUAACUAUGAUGGGAAUGAAGUAGCUUUGAAGCAUCUGCAUACCUGUUAUCUCUAUGUGCCAUCUUAAGGCAGGGCUAGCCCAUUAUCCAAAUAAACAAUGCAAAAAAGCAACUACAAAAAAAAGCAAAAAGCCUUCCUUUCAUGUGGAAGUUAAUAACCUAAAUUUUAUUCUUUAAUAGCAAUUCUUAGUAAGCUUUUGCUCUUACAUAGGAAUGUUCGAAGUGGUUUUGCUCAAAACCAUCAUAUGUAUCUGUUGUGAAUAACAAAUCUAGGGCUGUAAUCUGUACCAAACUAUGCUUUCCAUUCCCCCCACCUAAACCAUGCUGUUCUGUUGUUCUUUAUUAAUUUAACUUCUAUCAGGUCUUUACUACUGCCUUCAAGCAGAGAAUGAUUAUCAUCUUUUGGCUGAGACAAAACUUAAAAAGUAGUCUUUAAAACAAAGCAUCCAUGUUGACUUUUUGGAAAAAAUAAAUGAAGAAGAUCUGACUCAGAUAAUAUUUUGUCCUUUUCCUUCUAGUGUAAACUGAUUGUGAGUAAAGACCAAACUUUGUUCAUCAACAUACAUGCCUUUUACCUCCUCAACCACAACAUACAGUACUGUGCCUUGAACAUAGGUAGAUACUCUCUAAAUGCCUUUAAUUAAAAUAAUAAAGUUUAACUUCAAGCAAGUUGAGAUACAGGGAGGUUAGACAGAGAACUAUACUGAGUAAAAUUUAAAAAUCUAUGGUCAGAUUAUGCUUACUGUAUAAAUGUGGUAGGACCAGUCCAUGGAAGAGUAAGAAUAAGAACAGAAUGGCAAAGAUAGUCCAUAUUUAAUAGGAGGUUAUUAACCUUCUUGUGCAAUUAUCUAUGUACACAUCGGCAUAGAAAAAAAUCAUUUUAUUUUACAUUUUUGAACUUGACAAAAUGAUUCUAUAUCUUUCCUACAUUUUGGUGCUUGCAAUAAUCUUAUUUAGGAGAAAUAGCCACUACUUAUAUAAACAAAUUCAAACUUCUCAUAUAACAUUUCCUAUAAGAAGCUUUUAUUUUCCAUCUCAAAUUAUUCACUCUUCUUUGUGACUCCAUUUUAUAUUACACUAAAUCUUAACAUAGUAAUUUUGGCAUUUUAUUGUACUUAUUUCUCUGUCAAACUGUCCCACUCCUGCAAUGAGCCUACCUUGCAGACCGAAAGUAAGCAAUAGAGAAAUACAUACUUCCUGGGGUGUCUGGAUGGCUCAGUUGGUUAAGCAUCCAGCUUGGCUCAGGAUAUAAGCCUGGGGUCCUGGGACUGAGUCUGACCAGCCCAUAAACUCAGCAUCUGAUGCAAUGUUUUAUAUUAAACACGGCUAUCCAUUGCUGCAUCCAGCCUUCCUCCUGCGAUGUGUGUC
rnacentral:lncRNA from 1 species